CCAAUAGCGUAUAUUAAAGUUGUUGCAGUUAAAAAGCUCGUAGUUGAAUUUCGGGAUCAAAUUGUCGGUCGUGCCUCGGUACGUACUGGCGUUACUGGUUCCUCCCUUCUGAAGAACCGCGAUGUCAUUAAUUUGGUGUCGCGGGGAAUCAGGACUGUUACUUUGAAAAAAUUAGAGUGUUUAAAGCAGGCUCGCGCUUGAAUACAUUAGCAUGGAAUAAUGAAAUAGGACGUUUGAUUCUAUUUUGUUGGUUUCUAGGAUCGACGUAAUGAUUAAUAGGGAUAGUUGGGGGCAUUAGUAUUCAAUUGUCAGAGGUGAAAUUCUUGGAUUUAUUGAAGACUAACUACUGCGAAAGCAUUUGCCAAGGAUGUUUUCAUUAAUCAAGAACGAAAGUUAGGGGAUCGAAGACGAUCAGGUACCGUCGUAGUCUUAACCAUAAACUAUGCCGACUAGGGAUCGGAUGAUGUUAAUUUUUUAAUGACUCAUUCGGCGCCUUACG
rnacentral:rRNA from 1 species